GAGGUCAUUGCUAUCGGGGUCGAUUUAGCAUGCUAGUUGUGCGGGUUCAGACCCGCGGCGUAUAGCUCAGUAACACGUGGCCAAACUACCCACCAGACAGGAACAACCUCGGGAAACUGAGGCUAACACCUGAUACGCGUUGAUUGUUUGAAUACGUCGACGCUCAAACGCUCCGGCGCUGGUGGAUGUGGCUGCGGCCGAUUAGGUAGACGGUGGGGUAACGGCCCACCGUGCCGAUAAUCGGUACGGGUUGUGAGAGCAAGAGCCCGGAGACGGAAUCUGAGACAAGAUUCCGGGCCCUACGGGGCGCAGCAGGCGCGAAACCUUUACACUGCACGCCAGUGCGAUAAGGGGACCCCGAGUGAAAGGGCAUAUCGCCCUUUCUUUUCUGAACCGUAGGGAGGUUCAGGAACAAGAGCUGGGCAAGACCGGUGCCAGCCGCCGCGGUAAUACCGGCAGCUCGAGUGAUGACCGAUUUUAUUGGGCCUAAAGCGUCCGUAGCUGGCCGUGCAAGUUCGUCGGGAAAUCCACCCGCUCAACGGGUGGGCGUCCGGCGAAAACUGUACGGCUUGGGACAGGAAGGCUCGAGGGGUACGUUCGGGGUAGGAGUGAAAUCCCGUAAUCCUGAACGGACCACCGAUGGCGAAAGCACCUCGAGAGGACUGAUCCGACAGUGAGGGACGAAAGCUGGGGUCUCGAACCGGAUUAGAUACCCGGGUAGUCCCAGCCGUAAACGAUGUUCGCUAGGUGUGACACUCACUACGAGUGAGUGUUGUGCCGCAGGGAAGCCGCUAAGCGAACCGCCUGGGAAGUACGUCCGCAAGGAUGAAACUUAAAGGAAUUGGCGGGGGAGCACUACAACCGGAGGAGCCUGCGGUUUAAUUGGACUCAACGCCGGUAACCUUACCAGCCCCGACUACGGUGAUGACGGCCAGGUUGAUGACCUCGCCACGACGCCGUAGAGAGGUGGUGCAUGGCCG
rnacentral:rRNA from 1 species